CGGACGGGUGAGUAAUGUCUGGGAAACUGCCCGAUGGAGGGGGAUAACUACUGGAAACGGUAGCUAAUACCGCAUAACGUCGCAAGACCAAAGAGGGGGACCUUAGGGCCUCUUGCCAUCGGAUGUGCCCAGAUGGGAUUAGCUAGUAGGUGGGGUAAUGGCUCACCUAGGCGACGAUCCCUAGCUGGUCUGAGAGGAUGACCAGCCACACUGGAACUGGGACACGGUCCAG
rnacentral:rRNA from 1 species